rnacentral:misc_RNA from 1 species
AACAAGGCGUACCUGCGGACCUGCGGAAGGAUCAUUACCGAGUUUACAACUCCCAAACCCCUGUGAACAUACCUAUACGUUGCCUCGGCGGAUCAGCCCGCGCCCCGUAAAAAGGGACGGCCCGCCCGAGGACCCCUAAACUCUGUUUUUAGUGGAACUUCUGAGUAAAACAAACAAAUAAAUCAAAACUUUCAGCAACGGAUCU